rnacentral:piRNA from 1 species
UAUUUAAGCUGGAUUUUGUGACCCA